CAGCCGCCGCGGUAAUACGAAGGGGGCUAGCGUUGUUCGGAAUUACUGGGCGUAAAGCGCACGUAGGCGGACUUUUAAGUCAGGGGUGAAGUCCCGGGGCUCAACCUCGGAACUGCCUUUGAUACUGGAAGUCUUGAGUGUGGAAGAGGUAAGUGGAAUAGCGAGUGUAGAGGUGAAAUUCGUAGAUAUUCGCAGGAACACCAGUGGCGAAGGCGGCUUACUGGUCCACAACUGACGCUGAGGUGCGAAAGCGUGGGGAGCAAACAGGAUUAGAUACCCCCGUAGUCCCUGUCUCUUAUAC
rnacentral:rRNA from 1 species